rnacentral:tRNA from 1 species
AAGCAGGUGGGAUUGUGUAUCACAUUUGAUUUGAAGUCAUUUGUAUCUCUAUUGUUAGGGACACCUGCUUA